AGGCAUCAAGGAAACCCACGUGAGCCCAAUGAGAAGGCAGCUGUCUUGGAACCAGAAAGAGAGCUCUUACCCCAGGAAUCUGAGGGUUGCACAGUGAUGAGUGGCAGAGUACAGAUUCAAAACCCGGUUGAAGCCAUCCUAUCGAAUGUGCUCUGGGUGUUCAAAGCAGAAAGAACAUCUCUGGCAAGGACUCAAAGAUGUAACAGUAUGGUGUUGAUCAACUUUUUAUCUUCACACAAGAUACGUUGUUAUGUGGGGUGCCCAAGGCCAAUGGCAUCCUUCAUGCUGAAGAGGUAGCAAGCAUAGCCCUGGACCUGGUGCUGGACCUUAGAGAUUCCAACAUACAACUGAAAAUCUGUGCUGGCAUCC